rnacentral:misc_RNA from 1 species
GGAGGGAUCAUUUAUUCGACACAUAUCGGACCAAACUUUGUUUGAAGUGUGUCACCACAGCUUGCUGUGGCAUGGGUUGUAAUAGUUCAUUCCCUUUCCCGGCUAUUACUUAUCCCACCGAGAGGUGAAAGGAAGGUUAUCAGUAAUCGGAUUCAUACUUCGGUAUGAAGUGAUAACCCGCCCUUUGGGUGUGUUGUAAUAGAAGUACUUUCCCUUCUAUUGCUUAUACAACCGAUAGGAUAGAUGCUUUGCGAUGGAUGACUAGGGUCUUGUAUCGAUGAAGAACGCAGUUAAACGUGACAUUUAAUGUGACUUGCAACUCCCGUGAAUCAUCGAGAUUUUGAACACAUACGGAACUCUUGCUGCUUUCGAGUAGCAAGGGUACUUGCUUGUGAGUGUCAGUUACCAUUCAUAUUAGCUCUGAGCGAUAAUCUGCCCUAACACCACCAUGUUAGAAACGAUUGCUCUCAGCUAUCUUCAGUCUUAGGAUUGAACACGGUGGGCAUGAAGGCUUUGCCAGAUUGCAAUUAAUUAACUAUCUGACCUCAUUUGUGAGUGGUUACCCACUGAAUUUAAGCAUAUUAGUAAGUGGAGGAAAAGAAAUCAAAAGAGAUUCUCCUAGUAGCGGCGAGCGAAAAGAGAAAAGCCCAUCCCUGAAUCCGGACAAUUGUCUGGAGUUGUAGGGUAAGAGUUGGUUGCCUGGGAGUAAGUGAGAAGAAAGUCUGUGCUUGGAAUGGCACGUCUCUUCGGAGGGCGAGACAGGGUGAUAGCCCCGUCACUUCUCAUAAGCUUUCAAUCGGUAGCCUUCUCAUGAGUAGGAUUCUUUGAAAGUAGAAUCUGAAUAUAGGAGAUGAACUUCUUCUAAGGCUAAAUAUUAAUACAAGACACCGAUAGCAAACAAGUACCGAGAGGGAAAGUUGAAAAGAUUUCUGGUAAGAAGCUGAAAAACGUCUGAAAUCGCUGAGCAAAAAGCGGAACCAACACGUCCUAGGAUUGUGGCCUUGUACAGUGCGGAUUUAUCUGUAUGUACUCAAGGGUCACUCGACCAACGCCAUGUCUUCUUGGCACGGUAAAAAAGCAGGCUUUGCGGUCUGAAGACUCCUGGCGAUCUACCUGCAACACCGAGGUCAGACGUUUGCCUUCGGGUAAACUGACGGCUAAGGUUAGUGGGUGAUCGCCAGUAGUUCGAAAGCUAUGGCCUCUGCAAUCGUUGGUAAAGGACAUUGGGUCCG